rnacentral:rRNA from 1 species
AACGAACGCUGGCGGCAGGCCUAACACAUGCAAGUCGAGCGCCCCGCAAGGGGAGCGGCGGACGGGUGAGUAACGCGUGGGAACGUGCCUCUUGCUACGGAAUAGCCUCGGGAAACUGGGAGUAAUACCGUAUGUGCCCUACGGGGGAAAGAUUUAUCGACAAGAGAUCGGCCCGCGUUGGAUUAGGUAGUUGGUGGGGUAAUGGGCCUACCAAGCCGACGAUCCAUAGCUGGGUUUGAGAGGACUGACUCAGCCACACUGGGGACUGAGACACGGCCCAGACUCCUACGGAGGCAGCAGUGGGGAAUCUUAGACAAUGGGCGCAAGCCUGAUCUAGCCAUGCCGCGUGAGCGAUGAAGGCCUUAGGGUUGUUAAAGACGUUCUUUCACGUGGGGUAAGAGUAAUAGUACCUGUACCCGACUACGAAGAAACGGCCCCGGACUUAAACUCCCGUUCGGCCUAACGGCAAGGCCGACCGGUUAAACGACUAACGUCGUUA